UUUUGGUUAAGUGCUUAAGAUUUUUGUAUACCAAUAAAUUAUGGUCCUGUUAAAUUUUUCACUUUUAUUUAUUUACAUGAAUUGUUUUACAAGUAUAAAGUUAUUGAUAAAACUAUUAUUUAUUAAUAUAUUACGGUCUUUUGAAGAUAAUGAGAGAUCUAUGCCAGACCUCAAGUUAUUUUUCUUUAGAACUUUAUUGGAUUGGUUGUCAGCUUUGCGAAACCAAUCAUUUUCUUCUUUUCUUGAUUUUCUUGAUUUAUGUAAUUUUUGUACUUGAUUUGUUGACCCCUGUACACUUCCAGUGUACUAGGGUGUCCUUUUUUUGAUAUCAAUAAAUCCUGUUACUUAUAAAAAAAAAAAAUCUGUUAUUGUUAAAAAUGAUCCUUUAUUAAAAAUAUAUGUUAUUGUUAAAAAUGAUCCUUUAUUUGCACUGUUUUAUUUAUUUAUUUUUGAAGUUGAUUUAUUUGUAGUAAAUAAAUAAUAAAAAUUUGAUUGCUACUAAUAAAUUAUGCCCUAAAGUAUACCUAAACUAAUUAUUAAUUAAUCAAAUAAUUAAUUACUGUGUUCUUGUUUUUCAAGAAUUAUCGUGUCUCGUGCUCAUGUCCGUCCAUGCUACCAUCCUGAAUUGUUCCUCGUAUAAUAGUGUUUAGAUUCAGUUUAAGGUUUUGAGGCAUUUAUAUUUGGAGAAGCAGUUGCAAGCUAAAUGAUUCUAAUAUUUUAUGAUUUUAGAAAAUUAGUUGAAAUGUAACUCUGUAUUCAUUUCAAGGUCCAUAGCCAACCAUAAGUAUUGGCUUGUUGUAUGCGUUUCAGGGGCCAAAGAAGCUACACUUUUGAGUAUAUUUUUGUGAAAACUGAAACUUUCAUUUUAUAAACGAACAUCAUGUAGAGUUUGUAGAUCGAAUCCAUUUUGAGCCUGUUGGGGUCAAUUUGUAAAUUUCAUGUAGCAGUGGUUUGGAGAGGGAAACUUCCUGGCUGAGAAGGAUACUUUUUGUCAGGUUUGGUCAAACUUUUAACUUGUAUGAAAGAAAAAGAUUAGAAGACUCACCAAGUUAUAACUUAUAUAUUUAUAUGAAUGCUUGCAGUGGUAAGGGCAAAUUUGCAAUAGUAAGGGCAAAUUUGGUGCAUUUUAAAUCCCUGGGAGAGCUAGGUAUCAGAAUUUGUAGCAUACUAUGGAUUUUCAAGGGUGCAGCAGUAUGCAAAUAGGGUUGGGGAAAAAAAAAGUUGUGUUGCCAUUCUUUUUUGUAGAAUUUGCAACAUUUGGAGAUUAAUGGCCUCUUGGAUUUAACUUUUUAUCUGAUCCCCCAAACUUAGUGAGAAAAGUGAGUGGGUAAGGAGGAGAUGGGGAUCAUGUGAUGAAUGACGAACUGUGAUCUUAGUUUUCAGUUGCUUGUUGGUGUAAACCAUGCCUCCCUGUUGUUGACACAGGUGUGAAGUAUGACUAAUCAAAAAGACAUGGGUGUAAAGUAUGAACUUUUAUGAGCAAAAUUUAUGAAUGCUUAUUUUUGGCUGAAGUGGAAUUAUUCUGCCUAUUAUUCAUGAAUGCUUAUCUUUCUCUCUAAUGGGAAAGGAAGUGGAAUUAUUCUGCCUAUUUUUGGCUGAAGUGAGGUGCAUAGAUAACUUCAUGUUUCACCUUAUGAAAUAGGAAUUACAGAAGUGAAGUUUUGAGAGUUAAUUCUGUUUAUCAGUAAGUUUCUGAUAUUCUUGAUUAUUGCAGUUAUUUACGUGGUUCCAUGUAAGGAGACAAUGAAUUCCCAUUGAGAACUGAAUAGGAGAUGAAAUUGAAGUUUUGAGAGAGAACUUCUUAUUGGUAAGAUUUUGAGAAAUGUUGGUCAUUGCAGUAUUUAUGUGGUUGCGGAUGAACCUGUAAGAAUUAGACAUUUGGUAGGUAAUCAGAAACAGUUUCAUUUCAUACAAUAAUUGUGGUGGGAUUCAUCGGUAGAUCAUCUGUGUAUCAUUGGGAUGACAGUCACUAGUGGUGCUAAUAGAAGUGUCAAGUAUUUACGAUGGCUCACGCACGCUCUGAAAUGAGAGCGUUUUAUGUCAUGCAACAGCUGCUAUGGCUUCGGGCUUGUGCGAUAUAGGAAUAGGAUAUAUAAUCAUUCUAUUCAAAGCUACGAUGAUUUGAGUCCAUUUAAGCCACGUCCACAUUUUUAUUAAUUCAUAAUUAAACUAAAAUAUUUUUUUCC